rnacentral:rRNA from 1 species
CGCCUUGCCAGCCCGCUCAGAAACUUAAAGGAAUUGACGGGACCCCGCACAAGCGGUGGAUCAUGUUGUUUAAUUCGAUGAUACGCGAAGAACCUUACCAGGUCUUGACAUCCCCCGCGAUGCUUUAGAGAUAAAGCGGAGGUAUUCGGGGAGACAGGUGGUGCAUGGUUGUCGUCAGCUCGUGUCGUGAGAUGUGGGUUAAGUCCCGCAACGAGCGCAACCCCUAUUGCUAGUUACCAUCAUUAAGUUGGGGACUCUAGCGAGACUGCCAGUGAUAAACUGGAGGAAGGUGGGGAUGACGUCAAAUCAUCAUGCCCCUUAUGACCUGGCUACAAACGUGAUACAAUGGCUGGAACAAAGGGAUGCGAAGCAGUGAUGUGGAGCGAAACCCAUAAAAACAGUCUCAGUUCGGAUUGAAGUCUGCAACUCGACUUCAUGAAGUCGGAAUCGCUAGUAAUCGCGGAUCAGAACGCCGCGGUGAAUACGUUCUCGGGGUUU